UGGGGAAUAUUGCGCAAUGGGGGAAACCCUGACGCAGCGACGCCGCGUGCGGGAUGAAGGCCUUCGGGUUGUAAACCGCUUUUGAUUGGGAGCAAGCUUUCGGGUGAGUGUACCUUUCGAAUAAGCGCCGGCUAACUACGUGCCAGCAGCCGCGGUAAUACGUAGGGCGCAAGCGUUAUCCGGAAUUACUGGGCGUAAAGGGUUCGCAGGCGGCAUGACAAGUCCGAUGUAAAAGGCGAAAGCUCAACUUUCGUAAGCAUCGGAAACUGUCAAGCUUGAGUGAAGGAGAGGAAAGUGGAAUUCCAUGUGUAGCGGUGAAAUGCGCAGAGAUAUGGAGGAACACCAGUGGCGAAGGCGACUUUCUGGUCUGUAACUGACGCUGAUGUGCGAAAGCGUGGGGAUCAAACAGG
rnacentral:rRNA from 1 species